UGGGGAAUUUUGGACAAUGGGGCAACCCUGAUCCAGCAAUGCCGCGUGUGUGAAGAAGGCCUUCGGGUUGUAAAGCACUUUUGUCCGGGAAGAAAUCGCACCUGAUAAUACCGGGUGUGGAUGACGGUACCGGAAGAAUAAGGACCGGCUAACUACGUGCCAGCAGCCGCGGUAAUACGUAGGGUCCAAGCGUUAAUCGGAAUUACUGGGCGUAAAGCGUGCGCAGGCGGUUGUGCAAGACCGAUGUGAAAUCCCCGGGCUUAACCUGGGAAUUGCAUUGGUGAAUGCACGGCUAGAGUGUGUCAGAGGGGGGUAGAAUUCCACGUGUAGCAGUGAAAUGCGUAGAGAUGUGGAGGAAUACCGAUGGCGAAGGCAGCCCCCUGGGAUAACACUGACGCUCAUGCACGAAAGCGUGGGGAGCAAACAGG
rnacentral:rRNA from 1 species